AUCUUUGCGCUUGGGGCAAUGACGCAGUUAGUGAGGUAAUACCGAGGCGCGUCAAUUGCUGGUUGAAAACUAUUUCCAAACCCCCUCUUUGGCCCUGACGGGUCACUGAGAAUUUCUGGAAGGGCUCCCUUCUCCUUGGAGCU
rnacentral:snRNA from 2 species